rnacentral:lncRNA from 1 species
ACUCUAGGAGUGGUCCAGCCUUUGGCUUGGAGCUCAGUCUGAUCAGAGGGGGCUUCCUCCUGCCAGACCUCACCUUUUUUGGAGGACUGACAUCACCCUUUUACUCAGAGGUGAAUCGCCUCUGUGCAUGCCACCUGUCUGGUCAGGCUUGCUCCAGAACUCUGCAUAGAUAGACAGUUGCAGACAGGAAGGGAUUCUCCCUGGCCCCGGGUAUCAGUGACGAAUUUACCUAAGAGGCAGAGAAAAAGGCUGGGCCUUGGGUCCUGGGCCAGUACCAGGGCUUCAGGGUACCCAGAACGUUGGCGGCGUCCAGGAAAGGCCAUACAAAAGUGGAGGCGGGAGGGGAGGAGUGUGUUCCAGGCUGCUUGGCUCCUGUCUGGAGCAGCCCUGCGGCUCCCUUCAACCCUUAUUGUAUCUGCAGCCUUCUCCUACUCGGAGCGAGAGCAAGACCUAGCAGGCUGGGCUGGACGUGCCCCCACCUGCCCGCCGCGCUAGCCUGCGCCGCCAAGCUGUGGCCCCGGGACUCGGACCGUGCUUGGGUGCUGGGAGGAGGACUCCAGCAGCUCUACUGGCUGUCGCGAGGUCCCCGCAACAUCACUGGACCCGCUGUACCUUGGUGCGGUCCCGCGAGACCCCUGCUCGCCCAAGGCGGCCUCUGGGGACGCAGCUGUCCACGUGCGAGCUGCAGACUGGACGCGGCAGGCUCCAUAGCAGGUGAGCUCUCCCGCUGAGGAUUGGGAUUAGCCAGGCUGGAACUCUCACCGCGAAGACUUGGGACCUCUGCCCCCUUCUUUUCUGCAGCUCUGUGCAGUUAAACGGUUGUUGAAUUGAAAUAAUUUUGUCUGGAGGUGAUCACCUCGGGCCCAGGAAUCUGAUCGUGCACAGGAACGCUUUCGGUCGGCGCGGGCUGCUUUCAUUAAUGGGCAAAGGACAGGUGACUGGGCACCUAGAACCCUGCGACACCCUGCCAAACCGAGCGUCCGUGUUAUAUUCCGGACUUUUUUUUCUUUUUUCUUCCCCGCAUUCUCUUUGAACCGGGGCGGAGCGACCUUCACCAGGGAAGGUAAAUCCAAGGUGCCUUGUUGCCUCCUAUUUCGGUCUCCAUGGGUGAGCUUCCACCCAGCUGAAGUUUGCUCCACAAGUAACAACUUGUUGUUGAGGAUGAGAACCUCAGGCCAAACUGAAGGCGCAGAGAGAUAGGAAAGGAAUGUGGGAAAACCAGCUCGUCUUCAUUUUAGGAGGAAUUUUCGUUGUAAGGGAUCUGUCCAUUUUCUAUACAAAUGGGUUAAUCACUCCAAUCAGGAAAACUAAGGACCCUGUGUCCUUUGUUUUAAAAUUGACCCUGAAGGCCCAGAAAAAUGAGCAAAACUAAAUCAUCUUUUUUAAAAAAAUAAAGUUAGCUUUUUAUGUGCAAAACAUUAUUUGAAACUCAGCCU